ensembl:lncRNA
CUUCAGUCGUGUCCAACUCUAUGCCACCCCAGAGACGGCAGCCCGCCAGGUUCCGCCAUCCCUGGGAUUCUCCAGGCAAGAACACUGGAGUGGGUUGCCAUUUCCUUCUCCAAUGCAUGAAAGUGAAAGGUCAAAGUAGAAUCUGUCUUGGGAACAGAUGCUAAUGAAGCAAAAUCCAUGGACAUCCAUCUCAGCAUCUCAGAGGGUUAAGACCCUUGCAGCUUCCUAUAUGUCUCCUUGAUAGCACACACCUCCACAUAUUCAAUUUCUCGUUAUCUGUUUAAUGUCUGUCCCCUUCAGGACACUGUGAGCUCCUACAGGCAGGGACUGUCUCAUCUGUACCCUUGGGAUUUUAAUUUAUGGAGGUGACUGAAUGACAAGGAGAGGCCAAUGCCAUUGAGAGAAGGAUUUAGUACUUAGACUUCUUGAGAGGAGGCAUACCAUACCAUGCGGAGCCAUGUGGGGAGCAUCAGGGUGGUCAGAAGGCAGAAGUAGGGGUGAGAGGAAUACUCAGGAUAGGGUUUUUUUUUUUUUUCCCAGGAAAGGCUAGGAAGGGUAGGGUAAACAGUUUAGGAUUGACUAGUGUGAGCAAUUCCAAUGGGCUCUGGGCAAAAGGGCUGGGCUCUAGUUGCCUUGAGUGUGUGCUCAGCCAUGUCCGACUCUUUACAAUCUCAUGGACUGUAGCCUGCCAGGCUCCUCUGUCCAUGAAACGGUCCAGGCAAGAAUACUGGAGCGGGUUGACAUUUCCCACUCUACAGAAUUUUCUCGACCCAGGGAUCGAACCUGAGUCUCUUGCGUCUCCUUCACUGGCAGGUAGAUUCUUCACCACUGUGCUGCCUAGGUAGCGCAGUUGCCUAAGGGCAGAGGAAACACUGGCGUGGUGUGUGAGAGUCAUGUAACAGAUAAAUUAGAGAACCAUAUGGAAGCAGGUGUGUCUUCUUAUAAAGUGGCUGGGGCCGAAGAUUCAGAUGGGGUGGUUUGUGUAUGAAAGGUGUUCUCCCUUCUGCAUCUCUAAGAAUUGGCUAGCCUCUCCCAGUUCACAGGAAACCUCCUGACCAGACCCAGUUGGUAAAUGACUGCAGAAAGGAAGAAAUGAACACAUCCCCUUGGGAGGCUGACUGGUAGGAACCAGGAAAUCUUUUUUACUCCCUCCCCUUCUAGUAUAAAAGAAGCCUGAAUUCUAACUCAUGCAAGAUGGUUCUUUGGGGCACAC